rnacentral:rRNA from 1 species
GAUGACGCUGACAGAAUGCUUAACACAUGCAAGUCUACUUGAAUUUUGGUUUGGGGGGCGGACGGGUGAGUAACGCGUAAAGAACUUGCCUCACAGUUAGGGACAACAUUUGGAAACGAAUGAUAAUACCUGAUAUAUGAUUUUAGGGCAUCCUAAGAUUAUGAAAGCUAUAUGUGCUGUGAGAGAGCUAUGCGUCCCAUUAGCUAGUUGGAGAGGUAACGGCUCACCAAGGCGCUGAUGGGUAGCCGGCCUGAGAGGGUGAACGGCCACAAGGGGACUGAGACACGGCCCUUACUCCUACGGGAGGCAGCAGUGGGGAAUAUUGGACAAUGGACCAAAAGUCUGAUCCAGCAAUUCUGUGUGCACGAUGACGUUUUUCGGAAUGUAAAGUGCUUUCAGUUGGGAAGAAAAAAAUGACGGUACCAACAGAAGAAGUGACGGCUAAAUACGUGCCAGCAGCCGCGGUAAUACGUAUGUCACAAGCGUUAUCCGGAUUUAUUGGGCGUAAAGCGCGUCUAGGUGGUUAUGUAAGUCUGAUGUGAAAAUGCAGGGCUCAACUCUGUAUUGCGUUGGAAACUGCAUGACUAGAGUACUGGAGAGGUAAGCGGAACUACAAGUGUAGAGGUGAAAUUCGUAGAUAUUUGUAGGAAUGCCGAUGGGGAAGCCAGCUUACUGGACAGAUACUGACGCUAAAGCGCGAAAGCGUGGGUAGCAAACAAG